rnacentral:rRNA from 1 species
GACGAACGCUGGCGGCGUGCUUAACACAUGCAAGUCGAACGGAAAGGCCCUGCCUUUGUGGGGUGCUCGAGUGGCGAACGGGUGAGUAACACGUGAGUAACCUGCCCUUGACUUUGGGAUAACUUCAGGAAACUGGGGCUAAUACCGGAUAGGAGCUCCUGCUGCAUGGUGGGGGUUGGAAAGUUUCGGCGGUUGGGGAUGGACUCGCGGCUUAUCAGCUUGUUGGUGGGGUAGUGGCUUACCAAGGCUUUGACGGGUAGCCGGCCUGAGAGGGUGACCGGCCACAUUGGGACUGAGAUACGGCCCAGACUCCUACGGGAGGCAGCAGUGGGGAAUAUUGCACAAUGGGCGGAAGCCUGAUGCAGCAACGCCGCGUGCGGGAUGGCGGCCUUCGGGUUGUAAACCGCUUUCGCCUGUGACGAAGCGUGAGUGACGGUAAUGGGUAAAGAAGCACCGGCUAACUAUGUG